UAGGGAAUCUUCCACAAUGGACGCAAGUCUGAUGGAGCAACGCCGCGUGAGUGAAGAAGGUUUUCGGACCGUAAAGCUCUGUUGUAAGUCAAGAACGGGUGUGAGAGUGGAAAGUUCACACUGUGACGGUAGCUUACCAGAAAGGGACGGCUAACUACGUGCCAGCAGCCGCGGUAAUACGUAGGUCCCGAGCGUUGUCCGGAUUUAUUGGGCGUAAAGCGAGCGCAGGCGGUUUGAUAAGUCUGAAGUUAAAGGCUGUGGCUCAACCAUAGUUCGCUUUGGAAACUGUCAAACUUGAGUGCAGAAGGGGAGAGUGGAAUUCCAUGUGUAGCGGUGAAAUGCGUAGAUAUAUGGAGGAACACCGGUGCGAAAGCGGCUCUCUGGUCUGUAACUGACGCUGAGGCUCGAAAGCGUGGGGAGCGAACAGGAUUAGAUACCCUGGUAGUCCACGCCGUAAACGAUGAGUGCUAGGUGUUGGAUCCUUUCCGGGAUUCAGUGCCGCAGCUAACGCAUUAAGCACUCCGCCUGGGGGAGUACGACCGCAAGGUUG
rnacentral:rRNA from 1 species